GUCGCACGAGAAAGGGAGCAAUCCUAAGUAAAGUGGCGUACGGGUGAGUAACACGUGGAUAAUCUACCUUUUAGUGGGGAAUAACUCUGGGAAACCGGAGCUAAUACCGCAUAAGCUCGUGAGAGGAAAGCCGAAAGGCGCUGAAAGAGGAGUCCGCGGCUGAUUAGCUUGUUGGCGGGGUAACGGCCCACCAAGGCGAAGAUCGGUAGCCGGCCUGAGAGGGCACACGGCCACACUGGCACUGAAACACGGGCCAGACUCCUACGGGAGGCAGCAGUGGGGAAUCUUGCACAAUGGGGGAAACCCUGAUGCAGCGACGCCGCGUGAGCGAUGAAGCCCUUCGGGGUGUAAAGCUCUUUCGACGGGAACGAUAAUGACGGUACCCGAAGAAGAAGCUGCGGCUAACUACGUGCCAGCAGCCGCGGUAAUACGUAGGCAGCAAGCGUUGUUCGGAAUUACUGGGCGUAAAGAGUGUGUAGGCGGUGUUCUAAGUCUGUUGUGAAAUCUCCCGGCUUAACUGGGAGGGUGCGGCGGAGACUGGAAUGCUAGAGUAUGGGAGAGGUAAGCGGAAUUCCUGGUGUAGCGGUGAAAUGCGUAGAUAUCAGGAGGAACACCUGUGGUGUAGACAGCUUACUGGACCAUGACUGACGCUGAGACACGAAAGCGUGGGUAGCAAACAGGAUUAGAUACCCUGGUAGUCCACGCCCUAAACGAUGCAUACUUGGUGUGAGCCAUU
rnacentral:rRNA from 1 species